GAGUGCAGAAGGGGAGAGUGGAAUUCCAUGUGUAGCGGUGAAAUGCGUAGAUAUAUGGAGGAACACCAGUGGCGAAAGCGGCUCUCUGGUCUGUCACUGACGCUGAGGCUCGAAAGCGUGGGUAGCGAACAGGAUUAGAUACCCNUGGUAGUCCACGCCGUAAACGAUGAGUGCUAGGUGUUAGGCCCUUUCCGGGGCUUAGUGCCGGAGCUAACGCAAUAAGCACUCCGCCUGGGGAGUACGACCGCAAGGUUGAAACUCAAAGGAAUUGACGGGGGCCCGCACAAGCGGUGGAGCAUGUGGUUUAAUUCGAAGCAACGCGAAGAACCUUACCAGGUCUUGACAUCCCGAUGCUAUUCUUAGAGAUAGGAAGUUACUUCGGUACAUCGGAGACAGGUGGUGCAUGGUUGUCGUCAGCUCGUGUCGUGAGAUGUUGGGUUAAGUCCCGCAACGAGCGCAACCCUUAUUGUUAGUUGCCAUCAUUAAGUUNNGGNNUCUAGCGAGACUGCCGGUAAUAAACCGGAGGAAGGUGGGGAUGACGUCAAAUCAUCAUGCCCCUUAUGACCUGGGCUACACACGUGCUACAAUGGUCGGUACAACGAGUUGCGAGCCGGUGACGGCAAGCUAAUCUCUGAAAGCCGAUCUCAGUUCGGAUUGGAGGCUGCAACUCGCCUCCAUGAAGUCGGAAUCGCUAGUAAUCGCGGAUCAGCACGCCGCGGCGAAUACGUUCCCGGGCCUUGUACACACCGCCCGUCACACCACGAGAGUUUGUAACACCCGAAGUUGGUGAGGUANCCUUUUAGGG
rnacentral:rRNA from 1 species